rnacentral:rRNA from 2 species
UACAGAGGUGGCAAGCGUUGUUCGGAAUUACUGGGCGUAAAGGGCGCGUAGGCGGUUCGGUAAGUCCUGUGUGAAAUCCCUCGGCUCAACUGAGGAACUGCACGGGAGACUGCCGGGCUUGAGUUCGGGAGAGGGAAGCGGAAUUCCGGGUGUAGCGGUGAAAUGCGUAGAUAUCCGGAGGAACACCGGUGGCGAAGGCGGCUUCCUGGACCGACACUGACGCUGAGGCGCGAAAGCUAGGGGAGCAAACGGG